ensembl:lncRNA
GCAUAGAUAAUGUAUGUCGUGUGUUUUGUUAUAAAGAGAGUUUGGAAGCCUGCAUAGAUGUGUAGGGAAGUGUCUGCAAAGUGAUGCAUUCUUAAUAGCAGCAUCAGGUCUGUCUUCUCUCCAUAAUUAGGUUUUGCAUAGUGUGGGUGCCUGCCAUCACUCCAUGUUUUAUUUUUCUUACACACCCUAAGUUUAAUCCUAUCAGCAUUAAGAAUCCCUAUUAGAGUGGAAAAUAAGUGACCUUAUGACUGUCUUUUGCUCUUCUCUUCAGGCCAGGACUGGAAUUAGCAGAUGAAUCUAUAGACUGGGAGGUGGCAUGGUUCCUGGGGACAGAGGAUGUGCAGGUCCAUCUCAAAGUUCAGAGCAUAUUAUAUGAAUGGUAAAGGAACCCAAAAAGUUCAAAUCAUGGACUCUAUAGGAAAUAGACCAUGAUCAGGAGAUACCAAGGAGCAGGCUACAGAUGGAAACUUUUCUGUGCCUCUAUUUCCAUCACCUAUGAAAUUAUUCAGUACCUAAUGAACUGGUUUGUCUUGAAGAUUAAACUUGCUUGUAAAGUACCGAGACUGGUGCCUGGCAUGUAGUUAGGUUGUAUUAAUGUGUGAAAUAGCAUUAUUAUUAUUAUUGUUUUCAUCAGCAGAAACUGGAGUGUAAGAUAGGUUCUGGGCCUCAGGAGUGGGAGGCAGAAGACAGGGUAGAGAAACCUGAGCUCUGACUGAUGAUGCUGAGCCGGAGCUCCUAAUAUCUUUUCUGCUUGAGGUGCUAAUUCAUCUCGGUGACCAGUUGAGCUGAGCCUGAAGCAGCGGGAACAUGGGGGAGCAGAGGCUGAGACCCAACUUUCAGAACUGUUUCCUCUAAUCAAACUCACUUCUUGUCCUUGCCUUCCCUUCUGACAACACCAUCAGACAGACCUCCAUGGAGAGUGGCCAUGUUGCCUGUUGGCUCUGCUUCAGGCUGCAGUUCUGCUGAUCUUUAGAUAACAUAGGUGAUGAAGUUAUUUAAUAAAAGGAUUUGAGGUUGGUCAUUUCCCUUUAGGGUUGUGGCAGUGCUAACAUAGGUAUUUUCACUACUAACAUCACCUCCUUAAUCUCCAUUGUUGGAGAAUCUCAAAGAUUAAUCCACUGAAAACAUUUCCACUAGAUCUGUGGUGGCAGUGUAUUUUUCACAGUCCCCUGAGAUAUGGUGAUAACUGUUUUACACAGUGACCAUAUUUAUUUAAUUAUUGAAUUCACCAGACAUUCACGGAGUGCCUACUCUGUUGACAAUGGCACUAGAUCCUCAAGACACAAAGAGGAAUGCAGCAUGGUUCCUAACUCUAAGGACCCAUGGAGUAGUGUACAGAGACAAGGUGACAAACACUGCAGUUCAUUGGAAGUGCUGAUAAUGGAUAAUGAAGGGCUGUCGGGCUCCAAGGGUGAUCAACCCUCCCUCGGUGGUAGAGAGUCAUGGUCAAGAAGAGCUUCACAGGGGUGAUAAAAAGAAUGACAUGGUCUUAGAAGAUAAGAGGUUUAUCUGGGCAGAGAAAGAAAAGAGAAUAUUCCCAGCAGAGAGGCAGCUUGGGCAAAGGGAGGCAU